UGCAGCCCACCAGGCUCCUCCGUCCAUGGGGAUUUUCAAGGCAAGAGUACUGGAGUGGGGUGCCAUUGCCUUCUCCAACCCCUGUUAUCUGCUAGGCAUUAAUCUAAAGAAUAGGUGGUGCCUUCAUGGAACUUACAAUCUAGUGGGCUUGGGGAGUGAGUAAAUAAUAAACAAGUGAACAAGACUUGCUACACAGAUACAAAAUUGGGUGAUGUGACAGAGGUUUUCUGGGAUGUCUGAGAUCCACCUUAGCUAGUGUGGCCAAGAGGCCUCUUUGAGGAAGUGACAGUUGAACCAAGAUCUCAAUGAUGAAAAGGAGUUGAUUGUAUGAAGACAUGGUGGGGAGGUGGUUCUAGACGGAAAAAAAAAGUCUGUAAACCCUGAGGAGAGAAUGAACUCAAGAGUUUGGAAAAAACAGGGAUAUGGUACUGAAGGAAGACAUGAAAGUAUAAUAUUUGAGGCAAUCAAUAGCUUUAUUUAGAUAUGUUUAAGUAGCAGGUUGAAUACAUUAGGUUGUAAUACAGGAGAGAGGUUAGAGAUGGAGAUAUACAUUUAGGAUUAAUUGGGCUAUAGAUAGUACUUUAAUUAAAGACUAAAUGAAAUCACCUGGGGACAGGGUGGCUGGAAACAUGUAGAGGGCCCAAGAAUUCCCACAUAUAAAAGAGGCUAAGCAAGCAGAGGAGGAGCUGCCGAUUAGAAUCUGGUAAUGAAAAUCCAUAAAGUUGGAGAAAAACAAGAGUAUAGUGCCAAACAAUCAGAGAAGGGAAGAGUAAGCUGCAUUGACUGUUGCUGAGAUGUCAAGUUAGACGUGUACAGACAUGUAACUGUUAGAUUUGGUAACAUUGGUUCCCUUGCCAAGAGGAGUUUCAAAGCCAUGGUAGGCUGGAAGCAAGGCUGAACAGAGCUGAAGACUAAAUAGGUAGCAAUAAGGAGAGACAUCAACCAAAGACAAUUCUUUCAAGAAGUUUGGCUGAAAAAAAGAAAAUAAUGGUGUAGUACUUGAAAAAGAUUUGAGUUCAAGAGGUUUCCUCUACUUCCAAAGGAAGAAGUGGGAAUUAACUUUGAGCAGAAUAUCCUUUGUUUUGGAAAGAGCUGUCCUCUGAAGAUUCCUAUUUUAGAAGAACCCCCACUGCCACCUGCCAGGGGGAAGAAGUGUCUACACUAAUAGUAAUGAAAUUGUAUCUUGGCUCCAGCUAAAAUGAGUGGUUCCUGAAAAAAGAAGCUAAGAACAUGAAAGAGAUGAGGAUUGUGUUAAUUUUCUAACUGGCAUAGGAAUUUAUGUGCAAGUAUUUCACUUAAUAUAUUUCUAAGUGUGCUUCAGAUGGCCCCUCAAUUCAUAAUCAGGAGUCCUGGACCAAAUGACCUUGAUUCUGUGUCCAAUAUGAGUUUGUCCAUCUCUGCCAAUAUUUCCUCCACCAAGCAAGGCCUAUCUUUCAGUGGAUAAAAUUAAGUAAUGGCAUAAUGCUAGAGUCUUAAAUAUCAAGGCUGUGCCGGUUAUGCACAUAAAGAAUUCCUCUGAUGAACACUUGUGCCAGGCAACACAACAGCAAACCAUCAUCCUUCCCAGAACUUUGUUGUUGAGUCUUCAGAUGCUGCUAUAUUCGGUAACUCCGUAGAAAACAGUAAAUGAAAAGCGGAAAGAUGACAAUUCUCUUCAGUCAAAGGAAAACAAUGAAUUUCUGAAUUUAAUAUCCUGGAACAUCCUUUAAUACGAUGACAUGAUAGCUUCCACCUCUAUGUCCCCAGUGCUUACUUACCACGGUGCCUUGUAUGUAGGAGGUGCUUUAUAAAUUAUUGUUGAAGUGGAUUAAUUUUAUGGAAUAGUGGAAUUUAUGUGGCAUGUUUCCCAGUUAUUCUAGCUCCUAUUUACCCCUGCUAUUAUUUAUUCCUUACACUUGUGUGUAGACUGGCAUGUUUUCUAUAUUUCCUGUCACAAACCUCAGUAAUAAAGGAAAAAAGAAAGAGGUAGGAUGAAAGCAGAAGGGGAAAAAAGACAGAGGAGAGAGAGACAAAGGAGAGAGGGAAGGAAAGGGAACUGAAGCUUUGGACAGGGUUCCUGAGCAAGAAUUGGUGGAGAAGAGAAUGAACCAAGGGUGAUUAAAAUUUCUCUCUCAAUAUUCUUCCACCCGUGGAUUGAGCCAUGCUAGUUCAUUCCACUUAUCAACAUCUUCAAAUUUCCCUGUCUCCUUUAUGUUCAUUAAAAGAAAAAAAAAAAAUCCCCAUUGUAAGCCUCUAUUAAAAAAAAAUCUGAAUACACUUGUAUCCUUUAAAUGUCAAUAUCAUCACCUCCCAAUUCCUUUGAUUAUUUUUGUAGUCUUAACAUAAAACGGAUAUUAAAUAGGCUUGCCUCAGUGACAUGGAAAAUAUAGUUUUGUUUCCCGAGCCUGACUUACUAGGUUAGAAUGCUAUAUUCAGCACAAGCUAAAUACCACUCAGCAAUGGAAUGCUGUGAACAAAAGCUGCUGCUGCUGCUAAGUCGCUUCAGUCAUG